CUGUGCAACAAAUCCAGUCGUGAAAUUUCCUCGCUCCUAAAUAUUCCACAGUCAACUGUCAGCUGUAUUAUAAGAACGUGGAAGUGUUUGGGAACGACAGCAACUCAGCCACGAAGUGGUAGGCCACGUAAACUGACGGAGCGGGGUCAGCGGAUGCUGAGGCACAUAGUGCGAAGAGGUCGCCAACUUUCUGCAGAGUCAAUCGCUACAGACCUCCAAACUUCAUGUGGCCUUCAGAUUAGCUCAAGAACAGUGCACAGAGAGCUUCAUGGAAUGGGUUUCCAUGGCCAAGCAGCUGCAUCCAAGCCAUACAUCACCAAGUGCAAUGCAAAGCAUCGGAUGCAGUGGUGUAAAGCACGCCGCCACUGGACUCUAGAGCAGUGGAGACAUGUUCUCUGGAGUGACGAAUCGCGCUUCUCCAUCUGGCAAUCUGAUGGACGAGUCUGGGUUUGGCGGUUGCCAGGAGAACGGUACUUGUCUGACUGCAUUGUACCAAGUGUAAAGUUUGGUGGAGGGGGGAUUAUGGUGUGGGGUUGUUUUUCAGGAGCUGGGCUUGGCCCCUUAGUUCCAGUGAAAGGAACUCUGAAUGCUUCAGCAUACCAAGACAUUUUGGACAAUUCCAUGCUCCCAACUUUGUGGGAACAGUUUGGAGCUGGCCCCUUCCUCUUCCAACAUGACUGUGCACCAGUGACCAAAGCAAGGUCCAUAAAGACAUGGAUGACAGAGUCUGGUGUGGAUGAACUUGACUGACCUGCACAGAGUCCUGACCUCAACCCGAUAGAACACCUUUGGGAUAAAUUAGAGCGGAGACUGAGAGCCAGGCCUUCUCGUCCAACAUCAGUGUGUGACCUCACAAAUGCGCUUCUGGAAGAAUGGUCAAAAAUUCCCAUAAACACACUCCUAAACCUUGUGGACAGUCUUCCCAGAAGAGUUGAAGCUGUUAUAGCUGCAGAGGGUGGACCGACGUCAUAUUGAACCCUAUGGAUUAGGAAUGGGAUGUCACUUAAGUUCAUAUGCGAGUCAAGGCAGGUGAGCGAAUAUUUUUGGCAAUAUAGUGUAGGUCAUUUUAAAAAUAAUCUAGCUUUAAUUCACUAGAAUUCCAGUGGGUCAAAAUUUUACAGACACCAGGUUGACUAUCUUUUUAAUAGAUUUGGAUUUUUAUCCUAAUGACCAAGCAAGUGGCAAAGGCAAAACACCCUGAGAAAAAACCCUUGAAAGGAAAAAGAUUAUCCAUCCAUCCAUCGUCCAUACCCGCUUUAUUCCUAAUUAGGGUCACGGGGAUCUGCUGGAGCCUAUCCCAGCGCACAAUGGGCAAAAGGUAGGGCCACAUAUAGACAAUUUAGAAUUACCAAUCAACCUAAUGUACAUAGACGGAGUAAACCCACACAAGCACGGGGAGAACAUGCAACUCCACACAGAAAGGCCCCUGCCUGUUUGAACCCAGGACCUUCUUGCUGUGAGGCAACAGUGCUAACCACUAAGCCACCGUGCUGCCUGGAAAAAGGUUAUGUGAUUAUGACUCAUUACUUUUCCAUUUUUUAAUUUCAUUUUUAGCUUUAAGUCAUCCAAACGAUUGUGAAUAUCAAACUUUGGUUCUCCAUAACUAUGCAUAACUAUGUGGGGCCAUCCUUAGCAGCAACAAGCGAUUCUCAGUUGAAGGAAGCUCAAGAGCCACAAGAGUAACGGAGUAACCUUAAACAUAAUGACCAAAAGGUUCACCCAAAUACUUUUGUUCAAGACCAUUCCAUGCUUGCUUUGUAGGUCACUAGAAGCAUAUGAUAAUCAAUGAGAAAUUUUACAAGGAGCCAAUGCAAUGUGGAAAACAUAAGGAUGAUCUGGCUCCAGCGAGGACUCUGGCUUAAGAUGGAAUAGUUUGUGCAUAGCUUUGGAAAUUAAUACCAUGUUUUUGAAUAUGUUUACCCAAAGGUAGCAUCUUCUUAUUCUUCUUCUUUUGGCUUUUCCCUUCAGGAGUCGCCACAGCGAAUCAUCUUUCUCCACCUAUUCCUAUCUGUCUCCUAUCUCCACCUAUUCUGCAUCCUCAACACUUGCACCCACUUGUUACCCAAAGGUAGCAUAUAUAACCAAAAGAACAUAAAAAACAUAAAGACCUAAAAGACUAUCACUAAAGAUAGCAAACCUGUGCAUUAAGCAGAAAGCAGUGGUGCUCCCAAGGACAAGCCUUAGAGUAAGAAUUAGAUUUGUUGCUGCUGUGAAGGCUACAAAGCCUUAGUUGGUGUAUCUAAGGUAACAAGAUUUUCCCCUACCUUAACUAUGCACUUGCCAUCACUAGUCCUCUCUAUCAUCUGUAUGCAAGCUUCUAAUACUGCAAUAUUCUCCAUCAGUGUGCUAAUUACUGACAAAUUCUGAGAAAUAAAGCCAGUAUUUGAUAAAUGGAAGAAGAAUGAACAUCCAGUACCCAACACACUGAAAAAGCCCUUGCCUAAUCAAGGAUCCCUGUAAACCUGACUAAUUUACUUACUGGGUUCUACCAGGAGGAAGGGGCAAAUAUUGUGAGAAGCUUGUAGAAGGCUACCUCUAGCAGUUUAUUUAAAAUCAAGCAAAUAUAAGACAAUGCCACCAAAUACUAUGUAUGCAUGCACAGUAUGUAAAGUUUUUGACCCACUAAAAAAUCUAAUAAUAGAAAAUAAAAGCUGAGUUAAGCUUUAUUUUGAAAUGGCUUCUUAUGGAAAUAAAUCCUAACUGAAAACAGGAGUUUAUGGAGUUGUAAAAAAAAAAAUUGAGUUUGAAUGUACUUUGUCUAGGUGUAUGUAAAUUUUGGCCUCAACUGUAUACAGGUUAAGGUACUUUCUUACUACCUCUACAUUCCUUCACUGUACCUUUCUACAGUGAAGGAAUCAACCUUCUAAGCUAUCAACCAUUAAUUAAAUAGGACAAUAUCUCAUGUGACCCAAGGGGUGCAUGGUGUCUCUCCAGUGUAAAUGCAGUGACUCCUGGGUGCAAGUCUUCUGAUGAAAUCCUGGUGAAAAACGCCCAGAAUUUGCUGCAGACAGUUAUCCAAGGGGUACGAGCUGCAGAAACCGCAUGCAUAAAGGGAUUGAGACAACCUGAGCCCAACUCUGAAGCUGCAACGGCAGCUUCCCUGUGCAUACAAUGGAAAAGGAACCUCCUCAUCCAACGAACACAAGAACAGCUGAACCCUGAGACGGAUGACCUGGGUCUCCGCAAGACUUCACAACACCAUGCAACUCCAAGCCUUGCACCACCCAUCAGCGUACUCGAAAGAUAUAAAUAAAGCUUCUGUAAUGAAUAAAUGGUAUAAACACAUACCUCAGAUAGAAAAAGCAAUGAUUGUGGUGUACAACUAUGUGAAAAGUCACAGCAUUUGCAAUUUAUUUAAGACAAUAUAAAAGUAAUGUGAUGGACAAUCGUUUAGUGUCCUUUCUCACAAAGGUAAACAAAACAAUUCAGUACAAAUAUAUGGAAAACACAUAAAACAAUAAAACCAUUAAUUGAAAUGUCUGUAAAAUAAAGUGCUACAAGAUUUGAUAAACUCCACCACACAGAAAGAAAAGUAUUCUCUAGAUGAAAUUUGGUCUUUCAUUUUUCUUGCUCGAGUUGUAUCUUCAGCACAAACUAUCACAAAUGAUUGAAAAGUAAUCUAGUUGCAGUACAUUAGCCACA